rfam:Ixodes scapularis strain Wikel colony gcontig_1107728546538, whole genome shotgun sequence.
CCGUCGAUAGCUCAGGUGGUAGAGCGGUGGACUGUAGACGUUCUCAAUUGCGGAUAUCCAUAGGUCGCUGGUUCAAAUCCGGCUCGACGGA